rnacentral:rRNA from 1 species
CAGCAGCCGCGGGAAUACAGAGGUUGCGAGCGUUAAUCGGAUUUACUGGGCGUAAAGCGUGCGUAGGCGGCUUCUUAAGUCGGAUGUGAAAUCCCUGAGCUUAACUUAGGAAUUGCAUUCGAUACUGGGAAGCUAGAGUAUGGGAGAGGAUGGUAGAAUUCCAGGUGUAGCGGUGAAAUGCGUAGAGAUCUGGAGGAAUACCGAUGGCGAAGGCAGCCAUCUGGCCUAAUACUGACGCUGAGGUACGAAAGCAUGGGGAGCAAACAGGAUUAGAUACCCGAGUAGUCCCUGUCUCUUAUAC